UUGAAGGAUGCUCAGGUGCAUCUCUCC
rnacentral:piRNA from 1 species